rnacentral:rRNA from 1 species
UACGGGGGGGGGCAAGCGUUGUUCGGAAUUACUGGGCGUAAAGGGCGCGUAGGUGCGGGCGGUCAAGUCUGUGGUGAAAUCCUCCGGCUCAACCGGAGAACAGCUGGAGAUACUGACCGUCUCGAGGGGGGUAGGGGCAUGUGGAACUUCCGGUGGAGCGGUGAAAUGCGUAGAUAUCGGAAGGAACGCCGGUGGCGAAAGCGACGUGCUGGACCCUUUCUGACGCUGAGGCGCGAAAGCCAGGGGAGCAAACGGG